ensembl:snoRNA SNORA72 Small nucleolar RNA SNORA72
AUAUGAUUAUUCCCCCUGUUCUGAGUCUGUGGUAAUCAGGACCAGCUAAACAUCCCCUACAGUUAAGACUAUGUACAUGUCCCCAGACCCAGUUCUAUCUCUAGACCUGAUUUUCUAAAAGCUGAUGAAAAGC